rnacentral:rRNA from 1 species
UACAGAGGUCUCAAGCGUUGUUCGGAUUCAUUGGGCGUAAAGGGUGCGUAGGUGGCGCUGUAAGUCGGGUGUGAAAUUUCGGAGCUUAACUCCGAAACUGCAUUCGAUACUGCGGUACUUGAGGACUGGAGAGGAGACUGGAAUUCAUGGUGUAGCAGUGAAAUGCGUAGAGAUCAUGAGGAAGACCAGUGGCGAAGGCGGGUCUCUGGACAGUUCCUGACACUGAGGCACGAAGGCCAGGGGAGCAAACGGG